rnacentral:misc_RNA from 1 species
UUCCCAAGUGUUUUCCCCAGUUGAUGAAGCAAAAAGGGAGGAGGAGGUGUUUCUUGGAGUUACAGAACCAAAUAAUCUAUGUAAAGCAGUAGAGGAGAUUGUAGAACAGGAACCUUUAAACAAAAACCAUGUUCCCAGCAAUGCUAUGGAGCCUGAACCGGCAAGUUUAGCUAACGACUUCGUAGAUGGCAACGGGGAGGACCUAGAAAUGAUAAAGCAUCUCGAG